CCCCAUCCAUAGUGACGCGUAUAGCCAAAACGCGUCUCUGAUAACAAUUUGCAAAAACAAAAAAAUCUAGAUGCAUGGUGUACAUUUUUUAAUCCCAUGUUUCACAAUAUGGUACAGUUCAUAGCUGUACACAAAUACUUCACACUUCAUAGUACAAGUUCUCAUGAUCAUAUUACAUGACAAUGUUAAAUUGUAAGUGAUUACAUAGAGUAUCCACCAGAUCUAUGAUGUAACGGUUGCUUUAUAUAAUAAAUGGCCAUGCAUAUACCUCCAAGCUACCUCCUUUCCUCUCAGCUCAUUGUAGGUCAACUGCUCCCAGGCUACAACAAAACAAACAAAUAAUUAAUUAAAGACAUAAGUGUAAGAAAUGUCAUUCUGCUCAAUUUCUACAAAACAGCAUGUAGUUGUUAAGUCUAGAGGUGCAUAGCAUACAUAGUGGAUAUCUCCGGUGCAACUUCCAAGUAUGUAAACCUACUGUCAAUGAAUAUGAAAAUAGCACCUUCAGCAGUAUUAUUGCUAGGACAGCCCAACUAUUAAUGGUAAUUUAUAAGUUUUGGUCCUCAGUAAGAGGAGCAAUAUUUAGCAUAUAAGGAAGAAGGAAGCAAUCACUAGCUGAUUAGAGGGGUUGUGCAGAACACUAUAAAAUGAUAGUUACCAUUCUCUAACUUAACUAGAGUACAAUACCAAAUAAAAAGUGAUGUUCACCAAUUAUGUGGGUCCAGUGCAAAUCAGCAUGGUCUGAUGUGUGCAUAUCUGUAAAAAAACAAAGUUUACCAAGAAUUAGCUCAUACUACUUAUAUAUGUAUAGACUACACACUGACUCAAAUCCUCACUGCACAUGAAGCACCACUUAUAUACUCACAGAUAGUAGUAAGGAUUCAUCUGGUCGGUAGAGCAUUUAAUUUGUAAGAAAAUGUAUCUAGGUACAUAACAAUAGCCAUCUUUAAGUACCAAAUAAAACUAAAAUUUGCUCUCAAAGUUUGUUGGCUAGCUACUGUCACUUGCUCACCUAAGAUAAGAGACAAGCAGCUUAUGUGCUGCCCACCUACUUUUGCACAAGAACUGAAGCUGAAACUGCUUCUGGAAUCAAUAAAUAAAGGACCCCC
rnacentral:lncRNA from 1 species